GUCAUCCUCAGUUCGGACUGGGUCUGCAACCCGACCCCACGAAGCUGGAUUCGCUAGUAAUCGCGCAUCAGCCAUGGCGCGGUGAAUACGUUCCCGGGCCUUGUACACACCGCCCGUCAAGCCAUGAAAGCCGGGGGGCGCCUGAAGUCCGUGACCGCGAGGGUCGGCCUAGGGUGAAACCGGUGAUUGGGGCUAAGUCGUAACAAGGUACC
rnacentral:rRNA from 1 species